CAUCAGUUUUGUAUAUAAGAUGACACUUUAUCCACUGCCAUACACACCUUGUACGGACUUCGACCGAAGCUGUAAAUAGCCGCCCUCUUACCUUUAUACAGACCAAGGCAAUCCUAGAGGUUAACAUGCUGAAAGUACUGAUACUGCUGUCCUGUUUGGUGGCAUCGACCCUGUGUCAAUAUUUUACAAGUGACUUACAUGGCUACCCUGUAGGCGGACCUUAUAUGAAUGGCGGAUUACGCUCUGUAUUAUCAGGGCAUCGCUUCAGUCGCUUUGGAAGAAGAGAUUAUGAAAGCGACCUCGGAUACGGAAACGACUGGCACGGUGAUAGGUGGGAUAAUGACUUUGAAACUGACAUGGACAAUCAAAGAUACCUGAGAGGACUAGGAUACUGAGUAUGAGAAGAAUAAUGAAACCAAAUAUUGCUGCUAUCACAUCCAAUUAAUAGCGUCAUUUUAUAUCAUUUUAAUUUUAUCAAUUUUAUACAUUUUAUGUGUUUUGGAAUACAAAAAUCCACAAAUAUA